rnacentral:lncRNA from 10 species
AGACACUUAUGUCUCACAGCUUUGGAGGCUGGAAGUCCAAGAUCAAGGUGCUGGCAGAUUCCGUGCCUGGCUAAGGCUUUCUGGUUCAUCCAGGCGCUGGUGGAUUCCGUGUCUGGCUAAGUCCUGCUUCCUGCUUCAUCGAGGUGCCAGUGGAUUCCGUGUCUGGCUAAGUCCUGCUUUCUGCUUCAUCGAGGUGCCAGUGGAUUCCGUGUCUGGCUAAGGCCUGGUUUCUGGUUCAUCGAGGCGCUGGCGGAUCCCGUGUCUGGCUAAGUCCUGCUUCCUGCUUCAUCGAGGUGCUGGUGGAUUCUGUGUCUGCCCAAGGCCUGUUUUCUGGUUCAUCGAGGUGCUGGCAGAUUCUGUGUCUGGCCAAGGCUUUCUGGUUCACAGAUGCCACACUCUCACUGUGACCUCAUGUGGGGGAAGGGUGCAUGAGCUCCCUUGGCCCUCUUUCUUAAGGGCACAAAUCCCAUUCAUAAGGGCUCUGCCACCAUGACCUAAUCACCUCCCCAAAGACCCCACCUCCUGAUACUCAGUCCUUGGGGACUAGGAUUUCAGCAUAGGAAUUUUUAGAGGACACAAACUUUCCAGCCAUAGCAUUCUGCCCUGCAAAAUUCAUGUCUUCCUCAUAUGCAAAAUAGGUUCACUCCAUCCUAACAGACCAAAAGUUUCCAGUCAUUCCAGCAUCAACUUGACGGUCUAAGUCCAAAAGUCUCAUUUAAAUAUCAUGUAAAUCACAGCUGGGUGAGACUCAAGGUGUGAUUCAUCCCGAGGCGGAUUCUCCUCCAGCUGUGAGCCUACAGAAGCAAACGAGAUGUGAGCUUGGGAAACACAGGGGUGGGACAGGCAGAGGACAGACGCACCUAUUCCAAAAAGGAGAAAUAGGAAAGAAGAAAGGGUAACAGGUCCUGAGCAGGGACGAAGGCAAUAAAGCAAACAGCAUUAGAUCGUAA